rnacentral:rRNA from 1 species
CCUACGGGAGGCAGCAGUGGGGAAUAUUGGGCAAUGGUCGCAAGCCUGACCCAGCAACGCCGCGUGAAGGAAGAAGGCUUUCGGGUUGUAAACUUCUUUUGUCAGGGACGAAGCAAGUGACGGUACCUGACGAAUAAGCCACGGCUGACGACGUGCCAGCAGCCGCGGUAAUUCGUCGGUGGCAAGCGUUAUCCGGAUUUAAUGGGUGUAAAGGGCGUGUAGGCGGGACUGCAAGUCAGAUGUGAAAACCACGGGCUCAACCUGUGGCCUGCAGUUGAAACUGUAGUUCUUGAGUAGUGGAGAGGCAGACGGAAUUCCUAGUGUAGCGGUGAAAUGCGUAGAUAUUAGGAGGAACACCAGUGGCGAAGGCGGUCUGCUGGACAGCAACUGACGCUGAGGCGCGAAAGCGUGGGGAGCAAACAGGAUUAGAUACCCUUGUAGUC